ensembl:lncRNA
UUUUGAAAUGUUUAAGAAUUUGACAGUUGUUUUAAAGGACGGCAGUUUGAAACAAAAACACAACUUCAUUCCAGUGGCCACAAGUAUAGGGAGGCGAUUUUGAAUUUUUUUUCUUUUAUAAACAUACAUACCUCAUUUAGUCUGAGGUGGAGUGACAGGAUGUCUUGUUUUCCAGGUGUCCUUAUGGGAUUUGAUGGACUUUUACUGUAUGAAGUUUCAUUCUGCUCUGGCCUUGACUCUUGGUACAGCAGAACGACUGUUUUCUUAUUAAGUUUCUUGGUUUAAGCACUAUCCAGUUUAUUGUCCGUUGUGACUGUAAAUUAUGGAGAAACCAUAUAAUAGAAUGUGAGAGAGAGAUAUUGAGCUCAUGUGUUUGCCAAGGCCAUCGCUGACACCUCUUCAACCAGAAUAAUAUACUGGAUUGUAACAAUAACGCUCUUCGUUCACCAUCCACAUGAGGCCUUAGAUGCAGUGUCACAAUGUCUGAUGACUCAAGAUGGAGAACAUGAACUCAUCUUUAUUCCACAGUCAUUCGCUUAUUGAUAUUCUGAUAUGUUUCCUAAAUGCUCAUACUGUGCAUUUUCUCAUAAACCGUGUCGUAUCCUGCUAUAUGAUUCCAUGUUUUCAUAUAAACAUAUUCAUCUGGUAAAACUGCUUCGUGUCCAUGUACACAAAUCUAUAUUUUCAUAUAAAUACAUUUUAGCACCUGAAGACGCCAUGAUUUUGUACAAAUAUACAGAUCGAAAAGCAGAAAGAAUACCGGAACACCUGCAAUGCUCUACGUUCUCAUUUUACGGAAGUACCGACAUCCGUUAACGUCCCUUUGCUGGUAUUUGUUGAGUAUGACCCUCAUUUGUGUACAUGCUUUCUCAUUAAAGAUGUUGCCUACUGACAUGGAUUUUGUUUCUUUUGUUUCCUGUUGGUUUCAACCUUUCUGUUGUUUGCUAGCUAUCAUUUGUAAACCUGCAUCAGAUUUUAGAAUUGUCCACCUCCAAAAUACCAAAAAUUACCAACGAACAAAAUCGAGCUCCUGGUCAGUGUUAAAGCAGCUGAAUGAAGUUUUGUGUAUUUUUG